ACAUUACAGAAUUACACAGAGUAAUGACUAUCAUCAAUAGGCUAAAACAACAUGGUAACAUGUUUUCAAAUUAUGAACCGAUUCACUGUCCUUUUAACCAAAUCAAGCAAAAAAUUCACACUCAACCUGAAUUAACAUUUCUUUGCACUUUGCUAGUUUAAAAAAAAGAGAAGAAAACAGCCAGAUUCUGAAAGGUUUUUGGGUUUCCGGACUUCACUGCCGAGAGAAUGCAAAGAAUUACUGUCCAAAAAUGAAAGAAGAAGAAGGAUGUUUUUGACAGUGCCUAAUGCUUCAGAAGACUGGAAAUAGUAUACUAUUUCUUUACAUAACAAAAUAUUGUUAAAUAGGAAUAAAUAAUUUAAAUAAUUUACGCUUUUUUAGAUUGAAAUUGGUAGCGCUACUGUAACGUUACUUAUUUACUUACAUCAGCCUGCCUAGUCAGAAAGCUAGCCAGACAGUUUUAUUUAGCUAAUGUUCGCUAGCUAACUGUUAUUGUAGCUUUCUGUUUGUGUGUAGUUUGCACUUCAAUGAUAUCCCUAGAGGAGAUUUGAUUUAAUCUUUCCAACCAGGCGAAGUACUAUGAAGGCAGCACUGAUCUCGACAAGAGGUGCAACAUUUGUAGGGGGCAGAAAUGCACUAUUCGGGGUAACGCUAAGCAGUUAACUUCUAUUACAUAACUGCAAGGAUUUAGCUAUGAACAACCAUUUUACAUCUAGCUAGGUCAUCUACAAGUUGCUAGCUAUACAUUUAGUUAUAGGCCAUGCUGACUGAGAUGCAUGUUGGCCAUUUCGGAGUGAAUGAUUGCCAAAAUCAACCCACACUUCUAGUGGUGUGGGAUUGUCAAGGAUGUGGCCAGCUGAGCAAGUGAAAUAACGUUUUGUUUAUCAAUCACAUUCUAUUAUAUCUGAAAUUAUGAUGAUUUUAAUUAAUGUCAUAUGAGAGAGAAUACAUUUUAAAAUUUGUCACCUUGAGCUUAAAAGUCAGUACCUGUCCAGCCUGACAGAAGUUUAAGAGGGUGAAGACUGGCAGGAGUUUUGCCCUGAUAAGUUGUUUUGUAAUGGUUGCUUUAUUUGACCACAGCAGAGUUCAAUAUUAUAGAAUGUGUGUCAUUAUCCUUACAAAUAUGAAAAUCAGCAUACUGACUGACACAGAUACGGGUAAGAAUGAAGUAAUCUUCUCUAUAACACUUUAAAUGUUAGGGGUGGACCUCAUCGGACCCUUCAUGAAAUCCAGGAAUGGCAACAGCUGGUGUCUGACGAGGACCGAUUACUUUAUGAAGUGAGUGGAGGCAAUACUCAUUAAGGACAAGACUGGCGAGGCCACCUUCAAGACGAUGGACAUCUUCAACACCCACGAUUCUCCUGAGGUCAUCUUGAGUGACUGAGGUCAUGAACUCUGGAACCAGGUUUGGAUGAACAGACCAACCAGACCCUCAAGACUGCCAUGGGCAAGUUCCUUGACGUUUACCAGGAAUGGUGAGAGGACAACCGGAAGGUAAUUCUCUUUGCACACAACAGCAGCAUCCAGGCCUCCAGAGUACUCACCCUAUCGACUGCUGUAUGGAUGGGAGCUGCAGCUGUUUACUGAGGUUGUCAUGACUUCCACCGAGGUCGGUCCCUCUCCUUGUUCGGGCAGAGUUCGGCAGUCGACGUCACCGGUCUUCUAGCCAUCGCCGAUCCACCUUUCAUUUUCCAUUUGUUUUGUCUUGUUUUCCCGCACACCUGGUUUGCAUUCCCUAAAUACUCGUCUGGCAUAUAACCCUCUGUUUCCCCCCAUGUCUGUGUGUGGAAUUGUUAUAUGUAAAUGUAUGUGUAUGUCACGCCCUGGCCAUAGAGAGGCUUUUAAUUCUCUAUUUUGGUUAGGCCAGGGUGUGACUAGG